rnacentral:rRNA from 1 species
CCGAACGCUGGCGGCGCGCUUAACACAUGCAAGUCGAGCGAGAAACCGGCCCCUUCGGGGCCGGGGGGAAAGCGGCGAACGGGUGAGUAACACGUGGGUAAUCUGCCCUCGGCAUCGGGAUAGCCCGGGGAAACCCGGAUUAAUACCGAAUGGCCCUUUGGCUCCUCGGAGCUGAAGGAAAAGGUAGCUCCGGCCUCCGGCCCGAGGAUGAGGCCCGCGGCGGAAUUAGCUUGUUGGUGGGGUAACGGCCCUACCAAGGCGACGAUCCGUAGCUGGUCUGAGAGGACGAUCAGCCACACUGGGAACUGAGACACGGCCCAGACUCCUACGGGAGGCAGCAGUGGGGAAUCUUGCGCAAUGGGCGAAAGCCUGACGCAGCGACGCCGCGUGCGGGGAAGAAGGCCUUCGGGUUGUAAACCGCUUUCAGGAGGGGCGAAAGCCCACUCGGGUUAAUAGCCCAGAGGGUGGACGGUACCUCCAGAAGAAGCCCCGGCUAACUACGUGCCAGCAGCCGCGGUAAUACGUAGGGGGCAAGCGUUUUGUCCGGAUUUAUUGGGCGUAAAGAAGCGUGUAGGGCGGCCAUGCAGGUCCGUUUGUGAAAACUCGAGGCUUAAACCUCGAGACGCCGGUGGAAAACCGUGUGGCUUAGAGUCCGGAAGAGGAGAGUGGAAAUUCCCUGGUGUAGCGGUGAAAUGCGCAGAUAUCAGGAAGAACACCCGUGGCGAAGGCGGCCUCUCUGGGGACGUGACUGACGCUGAGGACGCGAAAAAAAGCGUGGGGAGGCAAACAGGAUUAGAUACCCUGGUAGUCCACGCCGUAAAACGAUGGGUGCUAGGUGGUGGGCGGUGUCGACUCCGUCCGUGCCGAAGCUAACGCAUUAAGCACCCCGCCUGGGGAGUACGGCCGCAAGGCCUAAAACUCAAAGGAAUUGACGGGGACCCGCACAAGCAGCGGAAGCAUGGUUGUUUUAAUUCGACGCGACGCGAAGAACCUUACCAGGGCUUGACAUGCACUGGAAUUGCGUGGAAAACACGUAAGGCCCUUCGGGGCCAGUGCACAGGGUGGUGCAUGGCUGUCGUCAGCUCGUGUCGUGAGAUGUUUGGGUUAAGUCCCGCACGAGCGCAACCCCUGGCCCAUGUUGCCAGCGUGAAAGACGGGGACUCAUGGGUUACUGCCGGCGACAAGUCGGAGGAAGGUGGGGAUGAGGUCAAGUCAUCAUGCCCCUUACGUCCUGGGCUACAAACGUGCUACAUUGGGCCGGUACAAAGGGCUGCAAACCCGCGAGGGUGAGGCGAAUCCCAAAAAAGCCGGUCCCGGUUCGGAUUGGAGGCUGAAAACUCGCCUCCAUUGAAGGUGGAGUUGCUAGUAAUCGCGGGAUCAGCAACGCCGCGGUGAAUAUGUUCCCGGGUCUUGUACACACCGCCCGUCACACCACGAGAGUUGGCAAUACCCCGAAGCCGGUGGCCUAACCCGCAAGGGAGGGAGCCGUCGAAGGUAGGGUCAGCGAAUUGGGUG